GACGAACGCUGGCGGCGUGCUUAACACAUGCAAGUCGAACGGAAAGGCCCUGCUUUUGUGGGGUGCUCGAGUGGCGAACGGGUGAGUAACACGUGAGUAACCUGCCCUGGACUUUGGGAUAACUUCAGGAAACUGGGGCUAAUACCGGAUAGGAGCUCCUGCUGCAUGGUGGGGGUUGGAAAGUUUCGGCGGUUGGGGAUGGACUCGCGGCUUAUCAGCUUGUUGGUGGGGUAGUGGCUUACCAAGGCUUUGACGGGUAGCCGGCCUGGGAGGGUGACCGGCCACAUUGGGACUGAGAUACGGCCCAGACUCCUACGGGAGGCAGCAGUGGGGAAUAUUGCACAAUGGGCGGAAGCCUGAUGCAGCAACGCCGCGUGCGGGAUGACGGCCUUCGGGUUGUAAACCGCUUUCGCCUGUGACGAAGCGUGAGUGACGGUAAUGGGUAAAGAAGCACCGGCUAACUACGUG
rnacentral:rRNA from 1 species